GGGCACGUGGCGGAAUUGGUAGACGCGUUAGCUUCAGGAGCUAAUUCUGGCAACAGAGUGAGAGUUCAAAUCUCUCCGUGCCCA
rnacentral:tRNA from 1 species